UACAGAGGGGGCAAGCGUUGUUCGGAAUUACUGGGCGUAAGGGCGCGUAGGCGGCCUUCUAAGUCGAACGUGAAAUCCCCGGGCUCAACCCGGGAACUGCGUCCGAUACUGGAAGGCUUGAAUCCGGGAGAGGGAUGCGGAAUUCCGAGGUGUAGCGGUGAAAUGCGCAGAUAUCAGGAGGAACACCGGUGGCGAAGGCGGGUCUCUGGGCAGUAACUGACGCUGGAGGAGCGAAAGCGUGGGGAGCGAACAGG
rnacentral:rRNA from 1 species